UUGCUGUGUAAAUGAUUUUAGCUUCUUCUCCAGUUCUACACUCACCAAUCCUCAAAAGAACAACAACCCAAAAACCCAUUUCUGAUUAAUAUCAAUUCCAACCAGAGAAAUAAGUAUUGCCAGUCUCAAUUCUGAAGGAGGAAGAAACAGCUCUAAGCGACUCAGGGUAUGUAGGAGUAGAAGACAGACUGUGACUAAAGUCACAGACGCAUGUUUAGUUUUUGACUGUGAAUAUUAACUGAUGGCCGAUUGUGAUCACGGAGUAAUUCCUUUUGUGGCUGUGGUGCAGACCAGAUUUGAGGUGGAACAAGCUGCUCACUAUCUGAUAUUCAAGUGUCAAGUAAAAUCUGACCUUCAAAUAAAAAAGCUUCUGUUUUUUGCUGCUGUUGAUUUGUUUUCAGUUUUGCAGUACCUGGGCUUCUUACUCUUAUUUAGGUAUACUAUCUCCAACUUUAUCUCUUUACCAUCUUCGGCAUGUUUGUUGUAAAGCAUUGUCACCAUAUCUGUUGGGAUGAUUUUGUUUAUUCCUUUUGAGAGGGUACUUCAAGUCUAAAAUUAGAGGUUGAUCUAUGGGUUUGGUUAGUGGAGUUGACCAAACCCAUAGAUCUAUGGGUUUCAAUAAGGAAGAUAUAUCCGCCCUUAAUUGGUCAGUGACGCUGUCGCCGCCGCCAUCAAGGCAGGAUAUUGGCAUAUUUAUUGUGCUCCAGUCUAUGGCAAUGAGAAUGAGGUAUCAAUUUAAUUGUGAAAGAAAGCUUUGGAGGAGAACAUAAUUGUGUAUCUGGAAACUGGUUGUGGAAAGAUCCAAAUAGCCGUGUUGCUUAUGUAUGAACCAGUUGAUACUGAAACGUCAGAAGAACAUAUGUGUUUUAAAUCCUGAAGAUCGAUGUGGUAUAUAUGGAUCAAAUUGCUGCCAAUGGAUUAUUGCAAUGGAGUACUAGAAAGAAUGUGGCUAUCAUGAAAUCUCAUGAAAUUACGAGCCUCAUGAAGCAGCCAAAUUUGUUGCAGAAGGAGACAUGCCGAUGUUUCAUGGAAAAUGACACACCCCUAAACUGAGAGAUUGAGAAAAGGUUGUUUUUAUGUUUGAAUGGCUGGAGUUGUAUCAUUCAGAUAAUGUAACUGCAAAGAGUUAUGUCCUUGGUGAGUGAUGCAAAGGCUGUAGAAUCCCUUACAGCAGCAAUGAUGUAUAGCCACACCCUAUAAAAAAUGCAGAUACCUCGUUCUCUUCUAUCGUUCUGCUGCUCCUAUCUUCAUCGUCAAAUCCCUGAACCCUAAUCCUCAUCGGCACAAAUGGGGAGAGAGGCUCUUUACUUCUCCCCCCUCCGUCUCUGAGAGGCAUCAUCAGAAAUAUGAGAGGAGCUUUAAUUUCUAAUUUUCUGAUUAUCUUCCCAUCCUUCCCUCUCUACGGUGAACUGUUCAAGCAUUCGUCUUCGUCAAAAACUCGGUAGUGCAGCGUCGUUCUCCAAUUCUAAAAGGUAAAACCUCAUUCCAACUUUUUUCUGAAUCAUCUUUGUCUGAUUUUAGAUUUGAGAUUUUAUUCUUAGAUCUGUUUGCUAGAUUUUGGGCGUAUGCUCUGAUUUAUUGAAAACCAUUGUUCUUCGAUCUCUUCAUGCAUGUUUUGAAUUAUAUUUGUGUUUUUUUCGUUUGAAAUUGGUUGGUUAGUACUAACCACUACUAGAAAACCAGAAGAAAGAAACGAUUAGGAAUCGAGAAAGAAUAUUAAGUUUGAAAUUGAUAGUUAUGCUUUUUUUUUUUUUAAUGAAACUGUUGGGAUCGACUCCAUUGAUGAUCUGUGGGUAUAUAUGUGAUGGGAAGUUCUAUUAUAAUAUGAUUGUAUAAAUUAAGUCAAUGCCAGAAGGCUGCAGAGGUAUAAGAUGAGGUUAUGAAGAAGAGGAUAGCGUCGCGGGUUCGAAUAAGGAAAGCAGUCCCCAAACCAUGAUGAGAAUCAAAAGCUAAUGCUUUUGAGGCAGUUAUUAGUCAAAGAUUAUGAAUUUGAUUUCAUACUUACAAUCAUACUGUCGUAAUUGUCACUUGGUUUUGUAUCUUCAUAUGUUAUUGGAGGAUGCAGGGCAGAUAUUAGUUGCACAUAAAUCUUUGGACAGACCUUGUUAUUGUUCCAAACCCUAUGUCUGUGGUUAAGGAUCCCAUCUAUAAUUGUGCAAGCCAGGGUUUAGUAGCUAAUCUUCUUUCAUUUUAUUAGUGAGGACUUCCUAUGUAAAUUUGUUUGUGCCUUUUGUUUCAUAAAGUCAGAUGCUUCUUUUUAUUCUGGUUCUCAUUAAUGGUCUUUAUAGGAUCUUUAUACUAAUUUGCGUUGGACACUGUAUUUUCAUUUGUUGCUUAUGUAUAUACACCUAUAUGGCAGAGCCUCGUUAAGGUGUCUUUGGGUGAUGACUUCUUUCUUUUAGGUUUGCAUUCUUAUGGUUUCAUUUAUAUGCCGUGGCCAUUUCUUAUAUGGCAGAGUCAACACAUCGUCAUGGUAUAAAUAGAUCAUGAUACAAAUAUAACUUAUUAUUAUCAAUGUCGAUUCGCUCUUCCACAGUUUUAGAGUUCACUCAAUUUCUAUUUGUGUUUAUUGUUUCUUCUGUGGGUGGGUUUCAAUUUUUAUUAAGUUAUAAUCAUGAACUAUAUUUGUUCUGAGCUUUUUUGUUUUUUUUCCUCUUUCCCAUCACACAACUAAAUUACUCAAGUGAAGAGAUUAGUGAAGAGAUGGAAGACAAUGCACAUGAAGAAGAUAGUCCGGGAAGACAAGAAAUUGAGGUGUCAAGAAAUAUAAUUGCAAAGUCUAAUAAAUGCAUCUACUUAGUAUUUAGUUGCAAAUUUGGAUUGACUUUAGUAUAUUUUUUGUAAUGUUUCCCAUUGACCACAGUAUUUAGUUGAGUAAUACCGACUGUAUUAAAACUA